UUAACGAAUCCCUCAGCUAACAACCCGAAACACCCCACUUCUUUCGAACAAACCACAACACAGCAAGCUACGCUUAGGAUCUUCUUACACAAGUCCUUUGAAGUCACGAAAGAUAUAUAACCCUCUUUAUUAGGGAUCAACCACUUUGGCAUCUCUCCUCCAGGUAGAAUAAUUUGGUAUUUGCUGUGAUGAAAAUUCUGUCACAGAUGUAGACUGUUAGAUAGUUUUUUCUUGAAAUUGGCACCCAAAAA